rnacentral:lncRNA from 1 species
CCCAAGGCGGCGUCCAACGAGUGCCCACACUCUGCCCCACUUAGAGCGUGUUUGGUAGUGUGGUAGUGGUUGCUUUUCAAAUAGCUUUUCGUGCCGAAAUGCAUGCUAAUGAUGUUUUUUUAUUUUUUAAAAAUCAUUUUUGACAUCAGCACAUCAAAACGAUCCAAAAAGUACAAACUGAACUCAAUUUUAGCAAAAAAAAAAUAAAAUUGAAAUUUGACGAAACGCAGUUUCGACCGCACUACCAAACGGUCCCUUAAGCGACUGAAAAUCGCCGCCUGUCUUCUCCAUGUGACAACCGCCACGUAGCUUUUUAAUCGUCCACCGUUGAUUUUAGCACCGAGUUUGCUGAGGCAUCGACUCAUCCUGCCCUCGUUCAAUAUCCAUCUCAGUCGUCCCUGACUCACCACCGCAACUCACAGAGCUAGCCACGUUAGGAGACGCAGCACCUCUUCUUUUCCUUCUUAGCAUCCUCUUAAAAGACAGCAUCCGACUCAUUGGCGAUCUAAACGCGUGACUCGCUGAUGGUGACUCAGUGUUUGACUC